UUCGGACUGUAGGCUGCAACUCGCCUACACGAAGCUGGAAUCGCUAGUAAUCGCGGAUCAGCACGCCGCGGUGAAUACGUUCCCGGGCCUUGUACACACCGCCCGUCACACCAUGAGAGUCUGUAACACCCAAAGCCGGUGGGAUAACCUUUAUAGGAGUCAGCCGUCUAAGGUAGGACAGAUGAUUAGGGUGAAGUCGUAACAAGGUAUC
rnacentral:rRNA from 1 species